rnacentral:misc_RNA from 1 species
GAUGAAGAACGCAGCGAAAUGCGAUAAGUAAUGUGAAUUGCAGAAUUCAGUGAAUCAUCGAAUCUUUGAACGCACAUUGCGCCCGCCAGUAUUCUGGCGGGCAUGCCUGUUCGAGCGUCAUUACAACCCUCAGGCCCCCGGGCCUGGCGUUGGGGAUCGGCGGAAGCCCCCUGUGGGCACACGCCGUCCCUCAAAUACAGUGGCGGUCCCGCCGCAGCUUCCAUUGCGUAGUAGCUAACACCUCGCAACUGGAGAGCGGCGCGGCCAUGCCGUAAAACACCCAACUUCUGAAUGUUGACCUCGAAUCAGGUAGGAAUACCCGCUGAGUUUAAGCAUAUCAAUAAGCGGAGGA